UACGUAGGGGGCAAGCGUUGUUCGGAAUUACUGGGCGUAAAGGGCGCGUAGGCGGCACAGCAAGUCGGAAGUGAAAGCCCGGGGCUCAACCCCGGAAUGUCUUCGAAACUGCUGAGCUAGAGUGCAGAAGAGGCAACUGGAAUUCCCAGUGUAGCGGUGAAAUGCGUAGAUAUUGGGAAGAACACCUGAGGCGAAGGCGGGUUGCUGGGCGUGACACUGCGCUGAGGCGCGAAAGCCAGGGGAGCGAACGGG
rnacentral:rRNA from 1 species